rnacentral:rRNA from 1 species
CAGUAGCCGCGGGAAUACAGAGGAUGCAAGCGUUAUCCGGAAUGAUUGGGCGUAGAGCGUCUGUAGUGGCUUUUCAAGUCCGCCGUCAAAUCCCGGGGCUCAACCCUGGACAGGCGGUGGAAACUACCAAGCUAGAGUACGGUAGGGGCAGAGGGAAUUUCCGGUGGAGCGGUGAAAUGCGUUGAGAUCGAAAAGAACACCAACGGCGAAAGCACUCUGCUGGGCCGACACUGACACUGAGAGACGAAAGCUAUGGGAGCAAAUGGGAUUAGAUACCCGUGUAGUCCCUGUCUCUUAUACA